AAAGAUGAAAUCAAUAUUUGAUGUUUCGUUUACGAUGAAAAAUUAGCAACUUGCCGUCUUUA
rnacentral:tRNA from 1 species